CGCGUCAUCACCCACGUGGUGAAGAAGAACGUUGCCAUUUUGCACUUCUGUUGAAUGCGCGUGGACCUGAGGAGUUAUCGUUCAAGGUAUAGGUAAUUAGUGUUGAGACGGGCUUCUGCUUCAAGCAUUGUUCCUAAGGCUCUGUAGAAAUGUGAUGUGGCAGUUUAAGGGGUGUUCCGUUGCAGUAGCUAAUAAAUGCAGAAUUUAAGCGCAUUACCACCAUGCCCCUGCAAUCCAGAUUUCGGUCACAGCUGGAUGUACGAUCUGACAAACUUCUAAAGCUGUUCGAAAAACGAGGAGGACAGAUAGACAAGCGUCUUGAGAGAACUUUGGCUCCCAUGACUCAAGUCGAUGACGUUGAUGCAGGGUGGGAAUGUGUUCUCAAGUGGCUGUGUGUGUACCUCAACGAAGGCCCAGCAAAUCUUGUCAGGGAGUUUGUGGCAGAGAACGAAGCCGCCAUCAAAGAAUCGAUUGAGGACACCACGUGGGAAUAUUUGUCGUGAAAAAUGAUGCAACCGGUGGUCCAGAGGACGUGGGGAUUGUCCUGGAAGGCCUGCAGAUAAUUCAAGGACUGGACAACACUGCAUUAGCUGCUGCCAUAUUGUUUGGCCUGAUGUAUGUAUGGAACCUCAACUACCCUCCUGAGCUAAAGUACACGUUUGAAGUGCGCCAAAAAGUUGUGAUGGAGCUGGACGGCACCACGCUCUCUAAGAAAGCCCAAGUUCUCAAAAACAGACAAUGAGUGAGCUGUUGUCCUUCGAUCUUUUUGCUCAUUGACUUGAUUCUGGACUGUUCACAUGACACUUUGCUGUUACAUACAGCAUGUCUACUGUAGUUUUUUUCUGGAGCUCAUGCAUUCCCAAAAUGUGACUCGGAUUUGCUGUUUUCUCUUAAAGUUAUAGAGCUGAUGAAUGACCUGUUGCCAUGGACCAUGUUUGCUCUGUGAAUGCACUUGUCUUUUGACAUGCACUCAUGCAGCUUUAGUUUUUUCUGUAUUCUUUUUGCAGUAUUUAGAUUCUUGGAAGAUUUACAUUUGUCGUAGGAUUAAUGAUGUUUGUCUAGGUCUACUGAUGGUCUACUCAUUGUUUGUUGUGCGGUGAUUAAUUCAAAACACUGGCAGUACUUUUUUAUUUUAUUAUUUAAUUAAAAUUGUAUGCAAAGUAAAAAAAAACAUAAUGCAACUUAACAUGUUGUUUUGGGAUUUCAGUGUUAAAAAUGUCUUGUGUUUUCAAAAAGAUUGUUAAUUUGGCACAAUUGUCAGAUUGUAGCAGUUGUGGAUGUUGACUGUUUUCUCCUGAUUGGGUCCUGCUGUACUGCGUACAAAUUGCAUGUCCAAACUAUUGCUAUUUGAAGGUGGAGUCAGCGAUUAAGGGGAAUUAUUGUUGUAAAAAAAAAGUGAAUAUCUCUUUGAUCAGCUACCUGUCCGUACUUAUGUGCUAUAAAUCCUUUGUUAGUGCUCAGCCUAGGCUCUGUAAACCAAGGACCUACCCUAUCAAAUUUACAGAGCCUAUAGGCUGUGUAUUAACGAUGGAUUCUGACAGGUAGUGGAUCAUGAGGAGAUAUUCACUGAUUUGACAAACUUUCCCCUUAACCGCUGACUCCACCUUCAAAUGCCAAUAGUUUGGACAUGCUAUUUGACAUUCAUUCUCCAGAGUCGUUAACCCGGUUACACAUGCAUUGGCUGUGCUCUUUUAUUUUAUUUAAUUAGAAUGUUACUGGUGCAAAGUAAAAAAAAAAAAAAGAACUAAUGUGUUGGGAUUUCAGUGUUAAAAAUGUCUAGUGUUUUCAAAAAGAUGGUUGGACAUGCAAUUUGUAGGCAGGACAAGCAUUCUCCAGAGUCAGCUCUGUUACACAUGCCUAACACUGGCUGUGUGCUAUUUAAUUUUAUUUUCAUUUUAAUCGAGCAAAGUAAUGGGAUUUCAGUGUUAAAUGUUGUAUUGGGAUUUCAAGCUUUGGGAUUUCUGUGUUAAAUGUAGUAUUUGAAAGAAAUACAAUAGAAAGUUGGUUAUUUGUGCCUUAUUUAGUCUCAUACUUACUUGAGCAGGUUAGGUAGAUUUAACAUGACAACACUAAUUUAAAUAGAAAAAUCAUGUUUCUUAAACAGGUUAUAAUUGAUUAUGCUGAGCAUGUAAAAUAUAUGCAAAAUAAGUCAUGUUGGUUUAACAUGGGGUAAUUAAGUAUGUUCAACAUAAAAAUAAUAAUUAACAAGUCAUUUCUAAAUGAAUAGUUAGUGAAAAUGAUUUUAAUGUGUGCAAUCGAUGUACACAUUCUAUUCAUGUAUAUCCAACACUUUUUUUUUUCAGUCUUGGUAAUCAUUUUGUUUUAAAACAAUGAAAUUAAGUAAAUGUUAAACGAAUGUAAAAUAACUAAAUAUAAAUUUGAUGUGAUCUAAAAAUAA